ACGACUGCUAAGACUGGAUAGGAGACAAGAAGGCAUCUUCUUGUUUUUAAAAGACCUAGCAAUAGGUAUGCUUAGGGAGGAGCUUGCGUCACAUUAGUUAGUUGGUGGGGUAAAGGCCUACCAAGACUAUGAUGUGUAGCCGGGCUGAGAGGUUGAACGGCCACAUUGGGACUGAGACACGGCCCAAACUCCUACGGGAGGCAGCAGUAGGGAAUUUUCGGCAAUGGAGGAAACUCUGACCGAGCAACGCCGCGUGAACGAUGAAGUAUUUCGGUACGUAAAGUUCUUUUAUUAGGGAAGAAUAAAUGAUGGAAAAAUCAUUCUGACGGUACCUAAUGAAUAAGCCCCGGCUAACUAUGUGCCAGCAGCCGCGGUAAUACAUAGGGGGCAAGCGUUAUCCGGAAUUAUUGGGCGUAAAGGGUGCGUAGGCGGUUAAAUAAGUUUAUGGUCUAAGUGCAAUGCUCAACAUUGUGAUGCUAUAAAAACUGUUUAGCUAGAGUAAGAUAGAGGCAAGUGGAAUUCCAUGUGUAGUGGUAAAAUGCGUAAAUAUAUGGAGGAACACCAGUAGCGAAGGCGGCUUGCUGGGUCUUUACUGACGCUGAGGCACGAAAGCGUGGGGAGCAAACAGGAUUAGAUACCCUGGUAGUCCACGCCGUAAACGAUGAGUACUAAACGUUGGGUAAAACCAGUGUUGAAGUUAACACAUUAAGUACUCCGCCUGAGUAGUACGUACGCAAGUAUGAAACUUAAAGGAAUUGACGGGACUCCGCACAAGCGGUGGAUCAUGUUGUUUAAUUCGAAGGUACCCGAAAAACCUCACCAGGUCUUGACAUGCUUCUGCAAAGCUGUAGAAACACAGUGGAGGUUAUCAGUUGCACAGGUGGUGCAUGGUUGUCGUCAGCUCGUGUCGUGAGAUGUUGGGUUAAGUCCCGCAACGAGCGCAACCCUUAUUGUUAGUUACCAGCACGUAAUGGUGGGGACUUUAGCAAGACUGCCAGUGAUAAAUUGGAGGAAGGUGGGGACGACGUCAAAUCAUCAUGCCCCUUAUGACCUGGGCUACAAACGUGAUACAAUGGCUGUUACAAAGGGUAGCUGAAGCGCAAGUUUUUGGCGAAUCUCAAAAAAACAGUCUCAGUUCGGAUUGAAGUCUGCAACUCGACUUCAUGAAGUUGGAAUCGCUAGUAAUCGCGAAUCAGCAUGUCGCGGUGAAUACGUUCUCGGGGUUUGUACACACCGC
rnacentral:rRNA from 2 species